UGUAUAUUUAGCCAUUGGCUGGGGAU
rnacentral:misc_RNA from 1 species